rnacentral:rRNA from 1 species
GACGAACGCUGGCGGCGUGCUUAACACAUGCAAGUCGAACGGAAAGGCCCUGCUUUUGUGGGGUGCUCGAGUGGCGAACGGGUGAGUAACACGUGAGUAACCUGCCCUUGACUUUGGGAUAACUCCAUGAAACUGGGGCUAAUACCGGAUAUGAGCUCCUGCUGCAUGGUCGGGGUUGGAAAGUUUCGGCGGUUGGGGAUGGACUCGCGGCUUAUCAGCUUGUUGGUGGGGUAGUGGCUUACCAAGGCUUUGACGGGUAGCCGGCCUGAGAGGGUGACCGGCCACAUUGGGACUGAGAUACGGCCCAGACUCCUACGGGAGGCAGCAGUGGGGAAUAUUGCACAAUGGGCGGAAGCCUGAUGCAGCAACGCCGCGUGCGGGAUGACGGCCUUCGGGUUGUAAACCGCUUUCGCCUGUGACGAAGCGUGAGUGACGGUAAUGGGUAAAGAAGCACCGGCUAACUACGUG